UGAUCUUUAUAAAAGGUGAAACCUGCCCGAUGGUUGUAUCUUAAUAUGUUUGUCUCGCUUACUAAUAAAGACAAUUAAAUGGCCGCGGUAACACUGACUGUGAUAAUGUAGCGUAAUCAAUUGUCAAUUAAUUGUUGACCGGUAUGAAUGGUACCCCGAAAGUUUUUCUGUCUUAAAAAAAUAUUCAAUGAAAUUAAAUUUGUAGUGAAGAUGCUACAUUUUAAUUGUUAGACGAGAAGUCCCCAUGGAGCUUUACUGUUAGCUUAUAUAUAUAAUUUUUUUUUUUUUAUAAGCAAGACAGUUUUGUUGGGGCGACAGUUUUUUAAAAAGUAACGAAAAUGAACUAUGACGCAUGUUUAACUUUGAAAUUUUUUUAAUUGAUGAGACAUUUUUGGUGUGUUUUUUGAUCCGUUAUUUUGAAUGAAAAAAAUAACGAAAACAGAUAAAAGUUACCCUGGGGAUAACAGCGCAAUGAUGUUUGAGAGUUAAUUAACGACAGUGUUUGCGACCUCGAUGUUGAAUUGUAACGUCCUACGGUGUAGUCACUCGUAAGGGUUGGUUUGUUCA
rnacentral:rRNA from 1 species